GUUGUUGCCAGGAACUUUUAGGAAGACACAAUCACUAACCUUUGCAUCAAAUUCGGUUGAAGUUGUUCAUAAUGGUGUGGCUUUGCAUUGCUAGUCAUCUCCCUCCAAUAUUGGCUUCAUGGUGCUUGUUCAAUAGAAGGUCCAAAAGUCGCAGAAAAAUUGAAAGGAGUAAAAGGUUUGAUAACAGCAAACAGAGACAAGGACAAAGAUAAAGAUAAAGAUAAGAAGAAAUCAAUUUCUCGUUCUUCUCGUGCUGGUUUGCAGUAACUUAUAUAGGAGCUACAAUGGAAAUGGAAAUUCUUGUGCAUCAAACAUGGAUGUAUAAUAGGCUUCUCCCUAGCCGGAGCGGACAUACAUAUGAAUUUUUAAAAGGAGUUGAAGAGUUUAUAACCUUUGCUUGUCAACAAAAGGAGUAUUUGAAGGAUGGUGUAAUAAGAUAUCCAUGUAAAAAGUGCAAAAACAAGGACCACCUCAGCCCGGAUGAAGCAAACAGUCAUAUUCAUCAACAUGGGUUUACACCGGAAUAUUGGAAUUGGACAUGCCAUGGAGAUAUAAUUCCUCACAUCAAUGAUAGUGACAAUGAUGAUAUAGAUAUGGUAGCACCUUGUAGUAGUAGUCAAUAGUGGAGUUAUGAACAUGUUCAUAGAUACCAAGACAUGGUGUUUGAUGCUGUUGGUUUUAAUCGCGAGCAACAUUUUGUACAACAUGAAGAGGAACCUUCAAACAUGGAAGCAAAUUUUUUUAUGACAUGUUGAAUUCAACUCAGCAACCAUUGUGGUCGGGAUGUAAAAACACAACAGAGUUAUCUGCUGCUAGUAAGAUGUUGAGUUUAAAAUCUAAACACAACAUGUCACUGGCAUGUUUCGAUGAUAUGGUGAAGUUUAUGAAGGAAUCAAGCCACUCAAAGAAUGUAAUUCCCUCUAAAUUUAGGGAAACAAAAAAACUUGUGGAUGGACUUAGUUUAUCAAGGAUAAAGAUAGAUUGUUGCAUUGGUGGGUGUAUGUUGUAUUACAAAGAGGACAUAAAUUUAAAGGAAUGCAAGUUUUGCAAUGAGCCUCGAUACAAAACAUGUAUUAUGUGUAAGCGUAAGCGAAGGAUGUAUAUUUGAAGGAUGUAUAACAUGGUUUUUUUAAUACAAAAAAAGUUUACAUGGCCACCAGAACACAAAGUUACGGUGUGAUGUAACUUUGAAAGAAGAGGUGCCGCUAAGAUGUCUCGGCUACUACAAGAUGUUCGCAAAGACUUGGAGUACAGACCGGGUUGGAUGGGAGAUGAUGUGUGGCAGCAAUUAUCGGUACAUUGGAAUUCGUUAAAGUUCAAAAAAGCAUCUGAAACGAAUAAAAGAAACCGGUCUUCUAUGGAUGGCACAUCUCUUCACAAUGGAGGGUCUAUUCCUCAUCGUUUGCAUUGGAAAAGAAUGAGAAAGGAAAAGGGUGCAGAUCCAUCAUUGACCGAGUUCUAUUUUCGCACACAUCGGAAAAAAGGGUCAAAGUUGUGUACAAGUUCAUGUUGAAUCUGCAUAUGAUAAGUUUGAACCAAAAAAGUUGGAGAUUUCUUCUCAGAAUCCAACUAUUCCAGGAGAGGACGAAGCUGAUAGUCAACCAACUAUUGAAAUGCCACCUGAUUUGGAUAUAUGGGUAGAGUCAGUUGGAAAGAAGAAAGGGAGGGUAUUUGGUCUUGGAACCGCUUCUAUGACUUUGGUUUCAGUAUCAAAGAAAACCUCAAGUCUUUCAAGCGACUCUCAAGAGCUUGAUGUUUUGAGAAGUCAAGUCCAUGCUUUAAAUGCACCGUUGCAAAGACAAGAAGAAAAGCUGGGGAUGGGGCAACAAUUGCAUCGACAAUAAAAGAGAUGGUUGAAUCGAAUAAUAAAAUUUCAUUUUUAAUGAAUCAUUUAGGAUUUGUUGGGUCUUCUUCGCAUCCACCACAACCCACUAAUGAAAGUGAUCACACAAAUGAAAAUGGCGUCGAUGAAUCAAAUGAAGAAGACCUCAGUAAUGAAUUUUGAUUUGUACUUUUUUUCUUUUUGACUUGGUUG